rnacentral:rRNA from 1 species
UACGUAGGGGGCAAGCGUUAUCCGGAUUUACUGGGUGUAAAGGGAGCGUAGACGGUGAAGCAAGUCUGAAGUGAAAGGCGGGGGCUCAACCCCCGGACUGCUUUGGAAACUGUUUGACUGGAGUGCAGGAGAGGUAAGUGGAAUUCCUAGUGUAGCGGUGAAAUGCGUAGAUAUCACGAAGAACUCCGAUUGCGAAGGCAGCAUGCCGGCUUCCUACUGACGCUGAAGCACGAAAGCGUGGGGAUCGAACAGG